rnacentral:lncRNA from 1 species
UAAAUCGAUAAUGCCUAUAUAGGUAAUUACUUUCUCUCUCUAAAAACCCAUCUUCUGUGACUUCUCACUAACACUACCUCAGUGUUGUUCCCAUUCAUAUCCAAAAUCAUCACCACCAAGAUGUAGUUGUGCAAGGUGGUGGCGCGACGAGUGACGAACCUCCUCCGCACCACCUCAUUUCACCAGAUCUGCCGGCGGCGCUCCUUUCUAGUGGUUGUGUGGUGUUCCUUUUUCCGGUUGUUUCUGCGUGGACGGGUUUGGAUGGUUUGCGUCUGGCGGAUGGUGUUUCUUGUUUAAAGCAAUUUGUAGGAGCAGCUUGUGGUGUUGACCCCCAUAUUCUCUUCGGCGGACGGUUUUCAUGGUGGUGUUAGUGUGCGAUUUUGUGGUGGUUCACAAGGUUUUGUGGGUGUUGGUGGUGGUGGAUCUAGUGGCGGUGUGGGUUGUGGUUUGUGGCGACAGUUGGAUCCGGAUCUGCGGCUGGUUUUUUCUUGCUUUAGGUUCGGGAGGUGUCACUUUUUUCAGUUCAUUGUGUUGGGUGCCUCUAUUACAGCUAGCUGAUAUGUACCCUCGUGAAGGAUAGAUAUGGAUUGGGGUUGUGGUUCCAAACUUCAGAGAGAUAAGCCUUGGAUUAGAUUUAUUUCAGCAAUUUUUUUGUCCCUCACUAUCAUGACAUCUGUUGGUUAUGGUGUUCUUCACGUUGUCAACACCAUGAAAAUGAUUUUCAUUAUUUUCUACAUGCUCUUUAACCUUGGGUACAGAUCACUUCUGGCUUGGUUGGUGUUUACUCUGGGGACAAACGCCUUUUUCGUGUUACUGGCGAUCACCUUUUUACGAUCUAGGUUACGUCUUUCACUUCAGACUGGCGUCGCUGCCCGUGUUUUGUUGUUUGGCUUCGUCUUCCUCUGGAUCUAUUUUUGUUGCUGCCUGUUUUCAUGUGAGACAGUUUGGCAGUGUAGUUCUGUCUCUAUCGUUGGUUGGUGGGUAUAUUUAUUGUGGUUGCCUCUUUAUAAUGCUAUGGCGAUGUUGUUGCUUACCUUGGAGACUUUCAACUUUGUUGUCUUGCUCUUGUUUGUCGGGUUGUAGUGGUGGUGGUGAUGGUGAUGCAGUGGUGGUGGUGGUGAUGGUGAGGGUGUUGAUGUGUGGUCGUGGUGGUGACUCGGGUGUUGUGGUUGUUGUGGGUGAUGUCUUUUGGAGGUUGUCUCUGUUUUUCGGGUCCAUUUUCGUUGACGCUACCUCUUGUUUGAGUUUUGAGUUGUUAAGGUGUUUAGGGUGAGUGUCCUUAGAGCUGAGCUUUUUUUCCUUUUUGAUUGAUGUUUGCCCCACCGUAAAUCUGGUUGUCUGUCUUACUUAUUGUGUGCUGGAUUCUGGUGGGCCGAUUACUUUUGCUUCGAGAUCAGAAGUUGGUGUCUAGCUACUAUCUGAUUUUGCUGGCUACGGUGUUCCUAUGGUGGACUGAGGAUAAGGGGUGCCCUUAUGAUUUGGUCUUGCAGUCUGGUGGACCUAUCGCUUUUAAUUCGAGAUCGGGAGUCAGUUCUUUGGUUCAGGUUUUGGUUUUGGGCUUUUUUGGUGUUCUUUCGAUGGACCGAAGGUUCAGAGGUGGUGGAAGCUAAUUGAUAUUUAGAAUAGCGGCUCAACUUUGGUGAUGAGGAUAUGAUGUUUCAUUUAGAGGGGUGUUAUUUUGGGAUGAGUAGUGGCUUUUUUGUUUAUUGAUACCGUUUUUCAGUGGUCGUUUCGUGAAAGACUCUGUUUUAGGUGGUGAUGUUUAUUUUGGUGGGUGUUUGUCAUCAGGGGUGUUGAAGGUGGGGUUUGACUAGGUGUUGUGUGUAGGGGGUCUUUUUGGUGUUUAUUUUUGGGUGUUUCGUCUAUAUACGGCGCCUUUUGUUUGUAUUCUCUGAAUCACCGGUUUCUGUUUGUCUUGAGCAGGGAUCUGAUUUUUAAUAAAAUUUGCUGUUCAAAAAAAUCAUGAUCUUCUUCAUUUCCAAAAGAUUAUAUGGUGCGCACAUAAAGGAAAUUUUUUUGGUGUGAAUCAGAA